rnacentral:lncRNA from 1 species
CCGCCCUAAAAUAUGAUAUCCUCGCCAGAACAUGCAGCUAAUAUAAACCAUCAUCAACGCUUGGGCGCCCAUGCAUGCCACAAGGCUUCCUCCUCUCUUCUCGGCUUCGAUAAAUUUGUUCACCUUCACCUAUCUCUUCGCUGUUCGCAGCAUUUUCCCUGCCCAUUGGGCCUGAUCAAGUCAAGUUGGAAUAAUUGGGUUAGAUCAGAAGAAAAAAAUCAUAUUAAAAUCUUUGGGUGACCCACGACGCUAACGAGAGCUUGGGUAAUAUAAUCGAGUUUCUUUAAGCAGACCAGCAGGUUGGUUGUGAUCAGGUCUAAUGCAUGUGUCCAGUCAAUUGAAAUCUAUGAGACAUGCGUUACUUGUGGAAAGUGAUUAGAGUAAAAUUUGUUCGCUAUAAUUUUAUACUCUCAAACAGAUUUUCUAUAUCUUGGUCAUCGCGCUCUCCAUCUUUGAAGAGAGAAACUCGAAAUAAAAAAUAUCUAAUUUUGAUAUCCAAUUAAAGAGAUCGUUGGAGGAUAAUCUUUCACUAAAAUCUCUAUCACCAUAAAUAAAUUAGAAAAGAUAUAAAGAUACCUCAAAGUAAGCUCGAUACUCACUGCACGCGCAUGCAUAUGCAGGC